AUGGAGCCUGCGGGAGGCGACAGUGGCUGGCGACGGGGAGUCCAGGAGAGGCACUGGCCGCUGGAGGGUGGCGACGGUGGAUGGCACACGGCAGGCGGGAGGAUGGGGAUGACGGGGACUGGAUCUGGAGGAGAGGUGGCGUCGCAGGAGGCGCUGGCCGCUGGCGAGUGGCACUGGUCGCUGGAUGCGCUGGCGCUGGCCAUUAGAGAGACGGCAUCACAGGAGGCACUGGCCGCUGGAGGAGAGGCAGCGUCGCAUGAUGGCACACGGCAGGCAGGAGGCGCUACGACAGGCAGUCGAUGGGGUAGUCGCGGCACUGUGGCGGUGGCGUCGCGCGUGUGCGGCGCCGGGAUGGGGACUGGCCUGUGCGGCACGCGUGUGCGUCAGGACUGUGGCGCAGUGGUGGCACCGACGCGCGUGAGAGUGGGAGAAGAGCCGGCGUCCGGCAGUGGGGGAUUAGGAUUAGGUCAACACUAAACAUAAAUGG
rnacentral:lncRNA from 1 species